rnacentral:rRNA from 1 species
GACGAACGCUGGCGGCGUGCUUAACACAUGCAAGUCGAACGGAAAGGCCCUGCUUUUGUGGGGUGCUCGAGUGGCGAACGGGUGAGUAACACGUGAGUAACCUGCCCUUGACUUUGGGAUAACUUCAGGAAACUGGGGCUAAUACCGGAUAGGAGCUCCUGCUGCAUGGUGGGGGUUGGAAAGUUUCGGCGGUUGGGGAUGGACUCGCGGCUUAUCAGCUUGUUGGUGGGGUAGUGGCUUACCAAGGCUUGGACGGGUAGCCGGCCUGAGAGGGUGACCGGCCAGAUUGGGACUGAGAUACGGCCCAGACUCCUACGGGAGGCAGCAGUGGGGAAUAGUGCACAAUGGGCGGAAGCAUGAUGCAGCAACGCCGCGUGGGGGAUGACGGCCUUCGGGUUGUAAACCGCUUUCGCCUGUGACGAAGCGUGAGUGACGGUAAUGGGUAAAGAAGCACCGGCUAACUACGUG